rnacentral:rRNA from 1 species
GAUGAACGCUAGCGGCAGGCUUAAUACAUGCAAGUCGUGGGGCAGCAUGAAGUAGCAAUACUUUGAUGGCGACCGGCAAACGGGUGCGGAACACGUACACAACCUUCCUUUUAGUGGGGAAUAGCCCAGAGAAAUUUGGAUUAAUACCCCGUAACAUAGCGAUGUGGCAUCACAUUGCUAUUAUAGCUUCGGCGCUAGAUGAUGGGUGUGCGUAUGAUUAGAUAGUUGGCGAGGUAACGGCUCACCAAGUCUACGAUCAUUAGCUGAUGUGAGAGCAUGAUCAGCCACACGGGCACUGAGACACGGGCCCGACUCCUACGGGAGGCAGCAGUAAGGAAUAUUGGUCAAUGGACGGAAGUCUGAACCAGCCAUGCCGCGUGAAGGAUUAAGGUCCUCUGGAUUGUAAACUUCUUUUAUAUGGGACGAAAAAAGGUCUUUCUAGAUCACUUGACGGUACCAUAUGAAUAAGCACCGGCUAACUCCGUGCCAGCCGCCGCCGUAAGAC